rnacentral:rRNA from 1 species
AUGGCAGCAUGCUAUGGCACAGGAGAUUUAUGCUCUUGUGCGCACAGGCACUUGGGACCUUGUACCCUGCCUACAGGCGUUAGACCCAUCACUUGCAAAUGGGUCUACAAGGUUAAGACACAUUCAGAUGGUUCUCUUGUGCGCUACAAAGCUCGUCUUGUUGCGCGUGGCUUCCAGCAGGAGUAUGGUCAUGACUAUGAUGAGACUUUUGCUCCUGUUGCUCACAUGACCAUUGUUCGCACUCUUUUGGCUGUUGCUGCUGUUCGGCAGUGGUCCAUCUCUCAAUUAGAUGUCAAGAAUGCCUUCUUGAAUGGUGAGCUGCGGGAAGUGGUCUAUAUGCAGCCGCCUCCUGGCUAUACUGUCUCUGAUGGCACUGUCUGUCGCCUUCGGCACGCUCUUUACGGGCUGAAACAAGCUCCUCGUACCUGGUUUGAGCGUUUCUCCGCCGUAAUCACAAGGAUCGGGUUCUCUGCUAGUGUUCAUGAUCCUGCUCUGUUUAUUCACACUUCUCCUCGCGGUCGCACCCUUUUACUACUCUAUGUUGAUGACAUGAUUAUCACAGGGGCUGACCACCAAUUCAUUGAUUUUGUGAAGUAA